rnacentral:rRNA from 1 species
AGAGCGAACGCUGGCGGCAGGCUUAACACAUGCAAGUCGAGCGCCCCGCAAGGGGAGCGGCAGACGGGAGAGUAACACGUGGGAACGUACCUUUCGGUUCGGAACAACCCAGGGAAACUUGGGCUAAUACCGGAUACGUCCGUAAGGAGAAAGAUUUAUCGCCGAAAGAUCGGCCCGCGUCUGAUUAGCUAGUUGGUGAGGUAACGGCUCACCAAGGCGACGAUCAGUAGCUGGUCUGAGAGGAUGAUCAGCCUCACUGGGACUGAGACACGGCCCAGACUCCUACGGGAGGCAGCAGUGGGGAAUAUUGGACAAUGGGCGCAAGCCUGAUCCAGCAACGCCGCGUGGGGGAUGAAGCUUCUCGGAGUGUAAACCCCUUUCGACCCGGAAGAAAGCCCGCAAGGGUUUGACGGUACGGGUAUAAGAAGCCCCGGCUAACUACGUGCCAGCAGCCGC